rnacentral:rRNA from 1 species
UACGUAGGGUGCAAGCGUUAAUCGGAAUUACUGGGCGUAAAGCGUGCGCAGGCGGUUUGCUAAGACCGAUGUGAAAUCCCCGGGCUUAACCUGGGAACUGCAUUGGUGACUGGCAAGCUAGAGUGUGGCAGAGGGGGGUAGAAUUCCACGUGUAGCAGUGAAAUGCGUAGAGAUGUGGAGGAAUACCGAUGGCGAAGGCAGCCCCCUGGGCCAACACUGACGCUCAUGCACGAAAGCGUGGGUAGCAAACGGG